AAGAGUCUCAUUGCAGUCAAAAGCAAGGAACACAGAGAAGGGGGCUCCUCAAGAUGCUUAGAAUAAAUGAUGAUUGAGUACUUAGCCUAAACAAUUUUAUUCCAUAUUUAUUCCAUAUUUUCUAAAGCCUUGGAGCAUGAGAGAAGCAUGAUGUGGAAAGACUAUAAGAGCUAAAAGCUAGGGUGAGAGUCUGUGCAGGUCUAUCUUCUGGGCUUGACACAGCCAUUGCAAACAUGAUUUUAUGUCAGUUGGGGUUUCCUGCUCUGGUUCUGCACAAGGCUGAACUUUGGAGAGGAUUAUUCAGCCUUAACUACUGCUGAAGUAUUAGCUACUGAUAUACACUUGGGGAGAGAUAGUCACUUUCGUCAAUUGUACACUAAACAAUGAGUCCAGCAGGGCCCAAACUCAUGGCUGAACAAAUGAUACUGAGUAAAAUGAAUGGAUUGCAAAACAAGCAAAGCAUAUUAUAGCAACGGAACCUGUCAGGAAAAAUAGGAUUGAUGGGGUGGGAGGGAGAUAGGAGACAGUGGAGAAUAAGAGUAUAUAAGAUACACUAUAUAUACAUCUGAAACUAUCAAAGAACCAAUUUAAUCAGCACAGAUGAGGACUGUACAACAAUAAGAAGCACUCUAAAACAUUCUCCAUUUCAAAGGAAGCCCUUAUAUAUUUUGUGGUAUAAAGACUUAUUGCUAGGAGCUAGGUGCAGUACGAUCUGUCCUUCUUAGCCACAGUCUUUCUCAAGAUGAGCAGUACUGAGUGCACCUGGUGUCCUCUCAGCACAGAUUUGUGUCCCUAUCCUCUUCCUGUUGAGCUUGUACAGCAGCUUGUCCUUGGAGACCUUGAGCCAUCCUAUGGUACUUGCUUAUAGGGAGUGGAGCUGUGUACCUCUUGAAUUUGGUGGGUUUGGUGAGACACCUGAGUACUGCUAUGUCUGGGCUUUCUUCUAUGUCUCGUGACCAUUGUUGAGUCCAACAACCAUGGGCUUACCAUACAGCCAUGGCUGCUAUUCUUCCAUGGCAUGGUAGCUGUCACAGAAAGGGUGUUUCUAAAUGCUACAUUUGAAAUAACGAUCUUGUGUAUUUCCUUGUCAUGUUGUGUUAAAGGAUAGCACUAAGCCAGCAGAGGCAUUUCUAAAAAGUGAUACUGUGUGUGUGUGUCUGUGUGUGUAUGUUCAAUACAGAAAACAGGCCACUAUGAAACGUGCAAUCCUUUGUGAAGAGGAAGUUAAUAAGCACAUAAGUUAUCUACACGAGUAGUCUUGCACAUGGAACCUGUUACCUGUUGACUACUAUCACAACCACCAUUUUAAGAUGCAUACAUUUUCUGAGCAUCUGACAUUGCAGUGGUGUUGGCUUUUUGUUGACUGAACACCACACCCAGUAGGGAUGUCUCUUAGGCAGACUUUCAGUAGACUUAGAACCUGUAUUCAUCUUCUCCCAUAGUGAACCAGACAGGCAUUUCAUUAAGUGGACACUAUACCAAUGCCACUUUAAUUUGGUCAAAUGACAGUUCAAAGUUUCCUAGCCCCUUGGUGCUACCUAGAAAACUGUCUUUCUAGUAGUAUGAUCACCAGAGAAAGGAGCUCACCAGCAGGGUCUUUACCCUCCCUGCUGUUGCCAUCUUUUUCUCAGAAGCCAGAGAAUGAUGUCAUUAGCUGAACAUCUGUACAGCUGUCCUUGAGGACUCUCAAUGUUAAUAGUAUCAAAGGGACAUAUCCAAAAGGACACAUUGUAUCCAGUGGAAUGGAAAAUUACAAAUGCAAAGUCAAGACAUCCUCUUUUGGAAGAUCAUCUGCCCUUUUCAAUUUCAUUUUUCCAUUCAGUAGGCAGUUAUUGAAUGCUUAUUAUGAACCCCUCGUGCUUUCUCCUGCCUUGGGAGUGGGCCUUGAGGCUCUAUAGCCUGACCUCACUUCCUCUUCACUUUCUGCUUCCUGAGUAUGGAUAGAGUGGGACCAGCUAGCUUCCUGUUUCUGCAACCAUAUCUUCUCUGCCUGCUACAGUGUCUUCUCUGCCAUGGAGCAUAGUGUCCCUCUAGACCUUUAAGCCAAAAUAAACCACCACUCUUCCUUAAGCUGCUUUUGUAGGGAAUAUUUUGUCAGAGCAAUAGAAAAGCAACUAAUUCAAGAUUCUGGCUUGCUGUGAAGGGUGUUAAUGGUGAUCCUGAUGGUAAGGCCUUAGCCUGCUGUGAGAGAACAGGUGUUCGUUGAUGCUGAUAACAUUGGUAAUAUCAACUGCUAUUUGCUGAAUGUUAUGAUGAGUUUUAUAUAUUAGUGUUUGUACACAUUAAGUAUUCAAAAUGAUAUUCUUAUGAAAGAUUGCAUACAAGCACUAUAAGAUUUAGGGAAUGUUGAGUGUGAGCUCAAGACUACAUAGUUGUAGAAGCAGAACCAAAACCUGAAUCAUUUGACUAUUUAUUAAAUCCCAGUUCUGUUACUGCAUGCUGCUUUUUUCAUAACGCCAUUCUUAUUGUUCAACUUCCUCUCUCAUGUCUUUGAUAUUAGUAUAUUUAACUCAGACUUUUAACCCCAUGGAGUUUUGGUUUGGUUGGGUUUUGUUCAGAGAACAGGGUAAUAUGGUGGUUAUAUCCACUAACAUAACAUUUACUUGGAAAGGAUUAUUUUUUGAGUAGAUCUGUUCUGAAGUCUAUGUGUCUUUGGCCUAGACUUGUACUACUGUCUUUCCAAAAUGAUCCUGAGGUUGGUUCCUGAGAGCAUCCACAG
rnacentral:lncRNA from 1 species